CUGAGGAAGCUUUGGAUGAGAUAGAUUCUUUUGAGGUUGUUUCCUCUAAGAGAACAAAGAAGAAGAAAGGAAAAAUCCCAAUCCUAGUAAAAAGAAAGAGUGAUAGGAACAAAGGUCAAGUUGUCCCAGUUCAGAAGAGAGUUGAAUUCUUGGCUAAGAAAAAGAAUUUGGAUAACUCAGGGAUGAAGAUUAACUACCAUAAGAGUGAGGUGUUCUCAGUUGGAAUAUCCCCAGAAGAGGAGCAGCGAGUUGCUAACAUGCUUAAUUGCAAUUCAGUGGAAGAAGUUGUUGAGGGAAGAGGAGGCAAGUUUGCUAGGAGAAUGGAUUCUGAAACUUCAACUCGUGACAAGAAGUCUCAGGGAAGCAAGAAGAGGAUUUGGCUGAAACAAGAGAUCUAAUAGUUUGAGUUUUCUUAGUAGUCUGAGUAGGGGUUUUUUGGCGCUGGUACGCCUUCUGUGGGCUUUCAGCUCGUCAGUAGGUAUCUCAGUUAGGGAAAACAAGUUGUUCUUCUAUUUCUUGGUCUGUAGUUGCUGUAUAGAUGGGUGUUGCUCGAGGCUGGGCGGUUUGUAUGGCAAGCCGGUGGUUUCCCCGGUAGACCUUUGUUUGUUUUGUAUCCUUGGUGCUUUCUGAAAAGUUGGGCUCAGGCCUCCUUCCAAAAAAAAAAAAAUU